GUGUUCUACAGUGCAAUAUAUAUAAUAUAUUGUUUAUAUUUUGUUGCUACCAGUAUUCUAAAUACAUUUAUUUGGUAUUCAACUAAUAGAUUGAACUAAAAUAUAUAUUUUAUUUUUAUAACAAUACUUGUGUUAGUAAAACUUGUAUGCUUAAGCUUAAAU